AUAUCGACUGCAAAAAGCCAAAGACUUGGCUCUAUAGGAUACAAACGAAGUUUGGCUCUGCCGCGAGUGGCGAAUAGUCAAAGAGUUAUUUCAAUAAUUCAAUCACGUGUUAUCGAAUAAUUGAAUAAGUCAUCGUGUCGAGCGACACAAAUUUAAUUUCAAUACGCAGAACGUUUAAUGUUGAACGUUUAACGAACGGGCGACAGCGUCAAAGACACUGCCGAUUGAGGCAGGAGGCAUUAACCGAGCGGACCCCGGUUACAGGGGAACAGCGGCAGAGACGUAGACGGAACCGCUGUGCCACGGGCAGACCAGGCCAGGUGAGGCCGGCCAGCCAGGGCAGGCAUUCAGGCAGGCAACGUGAGUGAUUGUCGCAAAAGCUCAAAGGCAACGACUACAACUCUUCGAAUUGUACUGAUUUUUAUUUAUUUUAUGUUUGAACCGAAACGUUUAUGGAAUUCCAAAUGAAAUGCGACUGCGCCCCGUACUAAUGGGGGCCCCGCACUACCAGAGCACCAGAUAUAGCCCAGUUAUUCGUUUAGCCGAGUCAAUUGGCAAUUGGUGUGGGAAAAAGUUUUCGUCUUUUCGGCAUACGAACUACACAAUUUUUAACAGGCGUGGCAAAUUUCCAUUUCCAUUUGCAUGUCCAACUCAUGGCGAACUCGAUCGAAUUUUAAAUGUUGCCCGUUUUAUGGGCUACCUUGAACUUCAAAUUGUCGACCAUGGGGAUGGGUCGCCCAUGAAAUUGGGCCUUGCAUUUGACCCAGAAAAUAUAAUAAUAUAUAUAUUACAUCGGUCGAUACCCUGCAAGAAGUGCUGAAGUGCUGCCCAUCUGGAAACUUUAUGAGUUCUGGUUAGAAAAUACAUGACUCCAAUCGAAACGACAGAAAUUGACAAUCAAAUUGUAAACAAAAUUUUUAUUAAAUUUUUUAAAGGAAGCCUUGUAUUGUUUGUCAAAUUUAACUUAAAUGCUGCUGUCUGAACACAUUUAUAGUCCGUUUAUUUUCUUAGUUAUUCGAAGAGAAUAAGCCUCUCUCAAAAGUUUACAUUUUAUUUUUAUACAGAGAGGAGAUCUAUGAGACACAAAUAGCCUUUAUAAGAUCUUUAUACUACACAUAAAAAUGCAAGUAUAUGCGACACAAGAGGUUUUCCAACUGGAGACAACAAAUUGGAAUAGUCUUUCGAAAUGGAAAAACAAGCCGUUCUUUCGGAAAUGCCAGCCAAACAGCAGCGGGAACAUCCUCACGUAAACUGGGUCGAUAACUGACCUACAGGACGUCGCGGAAUGCAACCAGUCAGUCGAUCGAGCAAUCGACCAAUCCGGCAAUCGGGCAAUCAGCCAAUCAACCCGUUCCCGUCGGUCGUUCGUUUGGCGGAUUCGAUAGAUUUUUGACAUACUCGUAUUUUGUCGAUCAGCUCAUUGAACUUGCGAGCGAGUCGCUUCGAGUGGAGUCGAAUGAAUUUUCUCAUUCACACGCUGCUGCCCGUGGGAGAAAAAUGUGAAUUUUGUUCUUGUUGUUGUUGUUGAUAUUGUUUUUGUUUGAAUUGUUUUUUUUUGCCCUUUUGGGGGCCAAAAUUUGCACUGAUUGGCCUCUGAUGUUGGCCAGAACUUAAACAAAUCAAUACGAAAACGAUGCAAAUGGCAAAAGGCAUGUCAACAAUGCUGGCGAGUAAUUGGCAGAGUGCUCCGGAGACAAUCAACCGGGAGGCGCAGCAGGAGCUGGGGAAUUGUCUGAUGACGCUCACUGUGAUGUUGAUGAUUGCAUUUUGAAUGUGCCCAGGAGAGUGUGUGCGUAUGUGUGAUAGCAAUCGCCGUCUCAGUUGCCGCCAAAGUGCAGCUAAACAUCUGGAGCAGAAGCAAUGGCAAAUCGCCGCCCAACUGUCCAACUGUCCAACUGUCCCACUGUCCCAAGCAGGUGAUCAGUGAUCUUUGCCGACGCGCCCAACGCUCAAUUGUGCUCCGAGAGAGGAGGGUUGCAGAGAGAGCGGGAGGUGGGGGAUGGUGAGCAACAGCAGAAGUUGGCUUUGAUCUGUCACCGCUGACCGCUUACCGCUUACCAAUCGAAUCACGGCUGGCGCGCGAGCACCACCAGAUAAAAUUAUUGAAAUUACAUUGGCAAGACGCCGCAACGUCGAUCAGCAACAACAGCAACAGCAACAGCUGCGGCGAUCUGGCACAGCAGAGUUCCACAGAGCUUCAGAGUUCCACAGUUCCACAGCCCUGCAGCUCCAGCUCUUUGUGCUUACGCGACACGAUCGCCAACACUUUGGGCUGAGAGAAAGAUCCGAAUCCGUCUGAGCCUGAGCCAGAGCCUGAGCCUGAGCCGGCAAUAAUUAUCGCUUUUAGUUUCAACUUGGCCUGUCAAUGUAAUUCCAAAAAUGUCGUCAGUGUCGCGUUGUACUUGUGUAGUAGCUCAUCAGGGCCCAGUCCAGGCACCCAGGCACCCAGGCUGGAGUCCAGCUUUGAUCGGUACUGUGAUUCGAUUUUAUGCUGCUUGUUCGCCUUCGCCUCGGCCUUUGCUGUUCUCCUCACUCGCUUUUUAAAAUGUAAUCAUCAUUAAAAUAUUUAUGGCCUGUCUCUCGCUCUAACUAACACCAUGAGCCGCAGCAGAACCAACAGCCCAGGCUUGGGUCAACGCAAUCCCGCCAGUUAGUUGGGACAAAACUGUGGACGGCUUGUAAUGACCAUACAUAGCAAUUGGUUCUCACGUUCGGAAAGAAGCGCUGCCAAUUUGGCGUCAUCGUUGUCACAGUCGACCGACUUGCACUUGGAGCUGAAGUUGGGAGUCGGAAUCGGGAAUCACAGUCACCAUUCGAGUUAGCUUUGUCACCUGUGCGCUACGAAUUAACAGAAGCUAACCAGACGGGUAGCUCGAGCACAGAUCAUUGACCACAGAUCAAGCAAUCAAAUUGAGAGCGGCAGACGAGUCACAGUAAAUGAAUCUAAAUAGCAACCUAAGAUUGAUGCCUUAAUAGUAUGUCCAGCAAAGCACAUGAAAGUUUUAAGAUACAAUUGCUUAGAAUGAAUGCCAUUGAAAGGUUUGAAAUUGUCAUCGUAGUUGUAACACAAUAUAGUUAUACGCUAGUUCAAGCCGGGAACAAACA